rnacentral:lncRNA from 1 species
AAGCCCUCAGCAACUAUUUGUAUCGUUUGGUGGGAUGACUAAGUUGGUUCUGUUACCUCUCUUUUGGUGGAGGUUCUUUUACCUCUUAAAGAUAGCCAUCCAGCUCUUUCAAAUGGCUUUGCCGACCUCAUCCAUCUUGCGGCAGGCUUGCAUUAUAUUUUUGAUUUCCCAAGCUUUGACAUAGCAUGGUGUUCCUUCACAGGAGAGUUACCGGUAGUAGAUCAUGAUGAUGAUAAAUUUCAGGGCUUAUUUUAGUGUAUGUAGUGCCUCAAUAUAAUAGAUAUAAAUUUUUUGGAGGGAGCUGGACUCUGAAAUGGAAAGGAGUGACCCUUGUCACGCCCCGAAUUCGGAUCUUUUGUCCGCAAUAACACGCAACCACUUCAAACCUUCAAAUCAAUUAUGAACAAUUGAAUUCAU